UACGGAGGGUGCAAGCGUUAUCCGGAUUUACUGGGUUUAAAGGGUGCGUAGGUGGGUAGGUAAGUCAGUGGUGAAAUCUCCGAGCUUAACUCGGAAACUGCCAUUGAUACUAUUUAUCUUGAAUAUCCUGGAGGUGAGCGGAAUAUGUCAUGUAGCGGUGAAAUGCUUAGAUAUGACAUAGAACACCAAUUGCGAAGGCAGCUCACUACGGGGUCAUUGACACUGAGGCACGAAAGCGUGGGGAGCGAACAGG
rnacentral:rRNA from 1 species